rnacentral:lncRNA from 1 species
GGCUUUAGAGGAGCUGCGGCUCCAAGACAAGCAUGUCAGAGCAAAUCCGUGUUCAGCCAAUGAAUAUCAGACGUGUCCUGACACGCGGAACAGAAGCCGGCGUUUCCUGGGAGGAAAAGAUGAAGGGCUGCUGAAUUAGAUAUGCAAUAAAAUGAAAGGGAAUAAUUAGGGAAUCAUCAAAAAGGGCACAAAUUGUUCAAUUCUACGACACUAAUGAAAAAGGGCUGAUUGAAGCUGAUUGUUUAGAGAAGCAUGAAAGCUGUGAGAAACAGGAAGAUGAGAGCAGAGCGGGAAAUGAAAAUGUUUGUGAUGCUCGGAGGCUGGUUGUUGAUAAUGUAUUGUGUCAGAACGCGCCACUCCACGAAGCAAAGCUGCGAUACGAGACCUGUUCAAAGCCUGCUUCCUGCCUCCUGCCUCCUGCCUCCUGCCUCCUGCCUCCUGCCUCCUGCCUCCUGCCUCCUGCUUCCUGCUUCCUGCUUCCUGCCUCCUGCCUCCUGCCUCCUGCUUCCUGCUUCCUGCUUCCUGCCUCCUGCCUCCUAAUCCUGCCUCCUGCUUCCUGCUACCUGCCUCCUGCCUCCUGCCUCCUGCUUCCUGCUUCCUGCCUCCUGCCUCCUGCCUCCUGCUUCCUGCUUCCUGCUUCCUGCCUCCUGCCUCCUGCUUCCUGCUUCCUGCUCCCUGCCUCCUGCAUCCUGCUUCCUGCCUCCUGCCUCCUGCCUCCUGCUUCCUGCUUCCUGCUUCCUGCCUCCUGCCUCCUGCUUCCUGCUUCCUGCUCCCUGCCUCCUGCCUCCUGCCUCCUGCUUCCUGCUUCCUGUCUCCUGUCUCCUGCCUCCUGCUUCCUGCCUCCUGCCUCCUGCCUCCUGCUUCCUGCCUCCAGUCUCCUGCCUCCUGCUGCCUGCUUCCUGCGUCCUGCGUCCUGCUUCCUGCCUCCUGCCUCCUGCCUCCUGCCUCCUGCAUCCUGCCUCCUGCCUCCUGCCUCCUGCUUCCUGCUACCUGCCUCCUGCCUCCUGCUUCCUGCUACCUGCCUCCUGCCUCCUGCCUCCUGCUUCCUGCCUCCUGCCUCCUGCUUUCUGCGUCCUGCGUCCUGCUUCCUGCCUCCUGCUUCCUGCUCCCUGCCUCCUGCCUCCUGCUUCCUGCUUCCUGCUUCCUGCCUCCUGCCUCCUAAUCCUGCCUCCUGCUUCCUGCUACCUGCCUCCUGCCUCCUGCCUCCUGCUUCCUGCUUCCUGCCUCCUGCCUCCUGCCUCCUGCUUCCUGCUUCCUGCUUCCUGCCUCCUGCCUCCUGCUUCCUGCUCCUGCCUCCUGCCUCCUGCUUCCUGCCUCCUGCCUCCUGCCUCCUGCUUCCUGCUUCCUGCUUCCUGCCUCCUGCCUCCUGCUUCCUGCUUCCUGCUCCCUGCCUCCUGCCUCCUGCCUCCUGCUUCCUGCUUCCUGUCUCCUGUCUCCUGCCUCCUGCUUCCUGCCUCCUGCCUCCUGCCUCCUGCUUCCUGCCUCCAGUCUCCUGCCUCCUGCUGCCUGCUUCCUGCGUCCUGCGUCCUGCUUCCUGCCUCCUGCCUCCUGCCUCCUACCUCCUGCAUCCUGCCUCCUGCCUCCUGCCUCCUGCUUCCUGCUACCUGCCUCCUGCCUCCUGCUUCCUGCUACCUGCCUCCUGCCUCCUGCCUCCUGCUUCCUGCCUCCUGCCUCCUGCUUUCUGCGUCCUGCGUCCUGCUUCCUGCCUCCUGCUUCCUGCUCCCUGCUUCCUGCUUCCUGCUUCCUGCCUCCUGCCUCCUGCUUCCUGCUUCCUGCCUCCUGCCUCCUGCCUCCUGCUUCCUGCUUCCUGUCUCCUGCCUCCUGCUGCCUGCUUCCUGCGUCCUGCGUCCUGCUUCCUGCCUCCUGCCUCCUGCCUCCUGCCUCCUACCUCCUGCAUCCUGCUUCCUGCCUCCUGCUUCCUGCUUCCUGCGUCCUGCGUCCUGCUUCCUGCCUCCUGCCUCCUGCCUCCUGCCUCCUGCUUCCUGCUACCCUGCCUCCUGCCUCCUGCUUCCUGCUACCUGCCUCCUGCCUCCUGCUUCCUGCCUCCUGCUUCCUGCUUCCUGUCUCCUGCCUCCUGCUUCCUGCUACCUGCCUCCUGCUUCCUGCUUCCUGCCUCCUGCCUCCUGCCUCCUGCUGCCUGCUUCCUGCGUCCUGCGUCCUGCUUCCUGCCUCCUGCCUCCUGCCUCCUACCUCCUGCAUCCUGCUUCCUGCCUCCUGCUUCCUGCUUCCUGCUUCCUGCUUCCUGCGUCCUGCGUCCUGCUUCCUGCCUCCUGCUUCCUGCCUCCUGCCUCCUGCUUCCUGCUACCUGCCUCCUGCCUCCUGCUUCCUGCCUCCUGCCUCCUGCUUUCUGCGUCCUGCGUCCUGCUUCCUGCCUCCUGCCUCCUGCUUCCUGUGUCCUGCGUCCUGCUUCCUGCCUCCUGCCUCCUGCUUCCUGCUUCCUGCCUUCCUGCUCCUGCCUCCUGCUUCCUGCUACCUGCCUCCAUCGUCUGUUAGUCCUUCACAGCUCAGUGACAACAGGAUGAAGACCUUAACAACGAGGUAAUGCAAGUAAUGAAACCGAAUACGCUGGAGUAAUUAUUCGCUCAGUGGAACCAACAGAUCCAAGUUCAGGCAAAAAGUCGUUCCUUCACCAGCUGCUCCUCAUUUCACACGGGCCGAGUGUCUUUAGGUAUACUCACUCAGACAGAGUUCAGCUUGUUUGACUGUGACUAUUGAUUCAUGGCAGAUUUCCCAGGAGGACAGUGUCACUAGCUUGUUAUUUAACGUUGUUAGUUUAACAGAGAGCGACAACGUGACGCCUCCCAGAGGAGAAUCCAUAUGAAGCUACAGGUCACGAGGUCUCAGACCUGCGGCUGGGUUUAUAUAUUUAUCACAUUAACACAGCAGCCUGCUGACUGACAGCUUGGUUCCCUGUGUUCACGGCCACAGUUUCACAUCAGCAGGACGCGUCUUGGCCUCCGAGGAGGUGGAGGUGUUGAGAAGGAGGUGGAGGAGCGCCGUCCACGACCCGUUCCUUCUCCUCCGAACAAGCAGGUUCGCUUCCACAGUGUCAUGACUCUGGACUUUUUGCCAUUUCCUGUCUUAUUUUGGUAUUGCCUGUUUUGUUCCGUCCGGUCUUAGUUCUAGCUUUUCUUACCUUGUCAUAUGUCAUUUUGUCACUUCCUGUCCUGCCAUUUGCAUUCAGUUCUCGCUUUUCUCCCAGCCUCAAUACUCAUCAGCUGUUGGGUUUUCCUUACGCUUGUGGUCAGAUUGUCUGAUCACCGGUAUCAACGCUCCAGCUUUCCGGUCUCGUACAUCCUUUUGUACUAGUCCUGGGUCUUGUUUUUUGACCGUGUCUUGUCUACUCUCUGUCUGUACCCGUUUGGACCUGAUUACUGGACCUUGCUUAAAGGACUGAUUACCUUUUGCCUGAUCCCUGUUUGUACCGAUGCCUGCCUUCUUUGUUGCCCGUGUACCAACUUCUGCUUGUCUGAAGGACUGUGUGCUGCCCGUUUGGGUCCUUCACCGCUCUGAUCCAUGACACAGGAGACGUUCAGGCAUCGACUCAUUAGGACGACG